rnacentral:rRNA from 1 species
GAUGAACGCUGGCGGCGUGCCUAAUACAUGCAAGUCGAGCGAACAGACGAGGAGCUUGCUCCUCUGAUGUUAGCGGCGGACGGGUGAGUAACACGUGGAUAACCUACCUAUAAGACUGGGAUAACUUCGGGAAACCGGAGCUAAUACCGGAUAACAUGUUGAACCGCAUGGUUCAACAGUGAAAGACGGUCUUGCUGUCACUUAUAGAUGGAUCCGCGCCGCAUUAGCUAGUUGGUAAGGUAACGGCUUACCAAGGCAACGAUGCGUAGCCGACCUGAGAGGGUGAUCGGCCACACUGGAACUGAGACACGGUCCAGACUCCUACGGGAGGCAGCAGUAGGGAAUCUGCCGCAAUGGGCGAAAGCCUGACGGAGCAACGCCGCGUGAGUGAAGAAGGGCUUCGGAUCGUAAAACGCUGUUAUGAGGGAAGAACAAAUGUGUAAGUAACUAUGCACGUCUUGACGGUACCUAAUCAGAAAGCCACGGCGAACUACGU